rnacentral:lncRNA from 1 species
CAAGUAACUCAGUAAGCUCGGUUUUCUUCUAUUCUCUUGGAUACUUGCUUACACAUUCCUUUUUUUUGUGUUAAAUUUGUUGUUUUGUUGUGUUAUAUGGAUCGAUGAGAGUCACAGACUUUGAAUUGAAAAAUGAAAAUUAGUUUUUUUUUCUGUGCUACAAAAAUGGGCGGAGACUGCAAGCAAGAGGGAAUGAAGCGACUCGAGUCACGAAGAGUCCUGUGACUUGCGAGAGGUGACAUGUAACUAUGAGAAAUUGAAAUAUUUGAUUAUCGAGUAAAUAACAUUGAGUUCCCUAUAUUUUUAUUUUUAGUAAAUAACGAUACAUUAGUUUCAGUUUAUUUCAAAUAGGUUCCUCAUCCUUUGCCAGUGACCAAGUUGUGCAACCCUAACAUCCACAGCACCUCUUUUCGCUUCAAUCAUGACCGGAGCAUCAGAGCUUGAGUCUAUCCUUUUAUGUUCAUCUCCGUCUUGUUCUUCAUCCAUUUUUGCAUCUUCUACAUGAAUGGCUUCUGGUUCUUUGGUUUGAUUUUCUUCUGUGCUGCCUUUUGGUUCUCUCCCUUCGCCGACUUGUUCAGCCACUUUCGUAGUUUCAAUUCUGGAGCUCUGAAGGGGGCCAGUCAAUGAAGCUGUAGCUGAGUCCAUCAAUGCUGAUUCCUCAGUUUUUAUUUCCCCUGAUUCUUGUGGUUGUUGCUCUCCUUCGAGGUUAAUCUUUGCUUUUUGUGGAGUUUCUGUGGUUCCUUAUUGCUCAAAAAUUUUUGGCGCAAACUCAUCUCCAGUUUGAACUGGUGUGUAUGGGCGCUCAAUGAGAUCUGCUUCAGUUGUUGCAUAAGAGCUUUUCUCUAACUCACUAGUUUCUUGAAUGAUUUUGCUGUCUGUUGCAAACCCCCUUAUGCUUUCUUUUUGUGACAUCGCCAUACUCGAUUCUUGAUAAAAUUAAAAGUAAAGCUGCUCAAAUUGUGAAAAAUAAAAGAAAAACCGAAAUGUCUAAUUAAUAUCUGCAAGCAAAAUGGCUUUCAUAAUUUAGCUGCAUUCUUGUCCUACUAAGUUAUGUUU